rnacentral:lncRNA from 10 species
ACUUCCGGCUGUGUCGGCGCGCGAAAAAAGGUCCUGGGUUGGAAUGUUUGUACUGGUCUGUGGCGGUGGUUGUCGGCUGUCCUGCCAGGAAAACUCGGCACUGACUAUCCCACUGCUGAUGCUGUAAAAGAGGUCCUUCUGCUAUGACGCAACUGUGGUUCCUCUGGUUCUGGGGACACUUAGGCCUCGCGUGCCGAUUUUCAUAGUUCCCUGUGGCUCCGAGCCGAGGGAGCCGCGGUGUGGAACGGAGGGAACCAGUGAUCUCAGUGCUGAAGAAAACAGGGAGAACCAAAGAGAAGUGAAGGAAUGUGUCCAAGGGCUCCCAAGUUGGCGGUGGAAUUAGAAUUGAAGCCUCAGCUCCAAAGCCUGU